CAUUGGGUAUUUAAUCAUUUUAAAAAUCUACUCAGGCAUCAUUUGUAUAAUAGUAAUAAUAAUUUAAUCCCCCUUAUUUCUCAUGUCUCAUGCCUUAUCCAUCAUCCCUCAUAUCCUACUCUUAGCCCAGAUUUUCCUUGACAGCUUUAUUUUCUUGGAGGGCAGGUAUGGGGAACCAAAUUUGUUUCCUUACCCUAGCUCUAGCCAUUUCCACAAAAGCUUUUAUAGAUAAUGUCCAUUUUGCUUAUUAUUUUUAGUUUAACCAAUACUUAAUAUGUGCCCACAGCUCACUACCUAGGCCCUGAUUUAGGCAUUAGGAAUAAAAACUAUCUCGACUUAGUUAAAACCACCAGAUGCAUUGCUUGAAAACCUGUUCUGCCACUUAAUAGCUGUGUGAUUUGAGCAGGUUACUUAACCUCUCCAUUUGAAAGCAAACAUUUAUUGGGCUCCUGUUACACAUUAGGACUGGAGAUACAGUAUUAAAACAAGUACCUGUUCAUGAAACUUACAUUCUAAUGGGAAAAGAUCAUUGAUUAAUAUACAACAGGUAGUGAUAAGUGCUAUGAAAAUAAUGCACUUAUAAAAAGAAUAAAGAAUGACAGCAGAUGGGGUAUGAAUGUGGGGGCAUAUGGCCUAUUUUAGAAAGCAUAGUCAGGGAAUGUGUCUCUCAUCAGAUGAUAUUUGAGGAGAGACCUGCAGGAAGUGAGCCAGCCAGCCAUGAGGUUGUGUAUGGACAAGAGUUGCAGGAAGAGGCAGUGGUGUGCUGGUGCUGGCUUGCAUUUGUUCUGAUGGCAUGCAUCUCUUCCCAAACUCUGUAUUCAGUGAAGAGGAAGAAUAAGGACAGAGGCCCUGAGGC
rnacentral:lncRNA from 1 species